rnacentral:rRNA from 1 species
GGCAAACGCUAGCGGCGCGCCUGACACAUGCAAGUCGAACGGGCGGGAGCGAUCCUGCCCGUGGCGGACGGCUGAGUAACGCGUAGGUAACCCACCUCGGAGUGGGGGAUAACCCUCCGAAAGGAGGGCUAAUACCGCAUGAUGUCCGCACGCUACGGCGUAGCGGACGAAAGCCGCGAGGCGCUUCGAGCGGGGCCUGCGUCCGAUUAGCUCGUUGGUGGGGUAACGGCCCACCAAGGCGAUGAUCGGUAGCUGGUCUGAGAGGAUGGCCAGCCAG